rfam:Oryza meridionalis cultivar OR44 (W2112) chromosome 3, whole genome shotgun sequence.
AAUAAGUACAGUUUUGCAUUGUUCAUAUCCAACGUUUGACCACUUAUCUUAUUUGAAUUUUUUUAUGAUUAGUAAUUUUAUUGUUAUUAGAUAAUAAAAACAUGAUUAGUAUUUUAUGUGUGACUAUUCUUUUUAUUUUUUUCAUAUAUUUUUUUAAAAUAAAAAGGACAGUCAAACGUUGGACAUGGAUAUCCACGGUUGUAUUUAUU